rnacentral:rRNA from 1 species
AGAUUGAACGCUGGCGGCAUGCCUUACACAUGCAAGUCGAACGGCAGCACGGGAGCAAUCCUGGUGGCGAGUGGCGAACGGGUGAGUAAUACAUCGGAACGUGCCCAAUCGUGGGGGAUAACGCAGCGAAAGCUGUGCUAAUACCGCAUAAGAUCUACGGAUGAAAGCGAGGGGAUCGCAAGACCUUGCGCGAAUGGAGCGGCCGAUGGCAGAUUAGGUAGUUGGUGAGGUAAGCUCACCAAGCC